AUGGUUAAGUUAGAAAGGGCGCACGGUGGAUGCCUUGGCACUAGGAGCCGAUGAAGGACGGGACGAACACCGAUAUGCUUCGGGGAGCUGUAAGCAAGCUUUGAUCCGGAGAUUUCCGAAUGGGGAAACCCACUGCUCGUAAUGGAGUAGUAUCCAUACUUGAAUACAUAGAGUAUGAGAAGGCAUACCCGGGGAACUGAAACAUCUAAGUACCCGGAGGAAGAGAAAGCAAAUGCGAUUCCCUGAGUAGCGGCGAGCGAAACGGGAACAGCCCAAACCAAGAGGCUUGCCUCUUGGGGUUGUAGGACACUCUAUACGGAGUUACAAAGGAACGAUAUAAGCGAAGAGGUCUGGAAAGGCCCGCCAAAGAAGGUAACAGCCCUGUAACUGAAAUGUUGUUC
rnacentral:rRNA from 1 species